GUGGCUUAGUGGUAGAGUGUCUGCUUUGCAUGCAGAAGUCACAAGUUCAAUCCUUGGCAUCUCCA